rnacentral:rRNA from 1 species
CUACGGGCGGCAGCAGUGAGGAAUAUUGCACAAUGGGCGCAAGCCUGAUCCAGCAAUACCGCGUGUGUGAAGAAGGCCUGCGGGUUGUAAAGCACUUUCAAUUGGGAAGAAAAGCCUGAGGCUAAUAUCCUCGGGUCUUGACGUUACCUUUAGAAGAAGCACCGGCUAACUCCGUGCCAGCAGCCGCGGUGAAUACGGAGGGUGCGAGCGUUAAUCGGAAUUACUGGGCGUAAAGCGCGCGUAGGCGGCUUGUUAAGUCAGAUGUGAAAGCCCCGGGCUCAACCUGGGAACUGCAUUUGAUACUGGCAGGCUAGAGUGUGGUAGAGGGAAGUGGAAUUCCAGGUGUAGCGGUGAAAUGCGUAGAUAUCUGGAGGAACAUCAGUGGCGAAGGCGACUUCCUGGACCAACACUGACGCUGAGGUGCGAAAGCGUGGGUAGCAAACAGGAUUAGAUACCCUAGUAGUC